rfam:Nematostella vectensis strain CH2 x CH6 NEMVEscaffold_25_Cont4525, whole genome shotgun sequence.
UGGCCCAAUGGAUAAGGCGCCUGACUACGGAUCAGGAGAUUCGAGGUUAGAGUCCUGG